rnacentral:rRNA from 1 species
UACGGAGGUGGCGAGCGUUGUCCGAAGUUACUGGGCGUAAAGGGCGCGUAGGCGGCUUGUCAAGUCACUUGUGAAAUCUCUGGGCUUAACCCAGAACGGCCAAGUGAAACUGACAUGCUAGAGUGCAGAAGGGGCAAUCGGAAUUCUUGGUGUAGCGGUGAAAUGCGUAGAUAUCAAGAGGAACACCUGAGGUGAAGACGGGUUGCUGGGCUGACACUGACGCUGAGGCGCGAAAGCCAGGGGAGCAAACGGGG